CAUGCCUGACUUGAGUAGACAUAGUUCACCCAACAGAGUCCACACAAGGGCUGGCAGCUCCCUGCAGAGAAAGCCCAUGUGUACCUGGGGCAUUACUGCACCCGUGACUACCAAACGCUGGAGACAUAGAGGGUGCUAAGUAACUCUACAUCAAACAGCUAUGACAGAUCACUGGGACGGAGGAGGGGGAAUGACAGGUGGGCACAGUGAGGGAGACACCACCCAGCUUGGCUUCACAGUCUACUUUUAUAAUGAAUUACCUACCUACCAAAGUAAAGACCAAUCCAAAAGAUGUAUCACAUUUACAUGUGUUAAUAAGCUCAUAAAUUGAUUCAAUGGAAGAAUAAGGAAACAUUUGAUCGGAGCUACCCAAGGCUACCACAGAAUGAGAGUAAAGAAUCAAAGAGCACAAGUCAUGCUUGCUUGCUUGGAAGGCUGAAAGACUGAAUUAUCCGUCCAAGACCAAGACCAAGAGCCUCUCUGUCAUCACUCUGGCUUGCAAUGACAGCUGUCACCCUUCACACCCUUCCAACUCUGCAGGUUAAAGCUUCUCAUGGGAAGAUGAUGCUAUACUUGUGAGAGAGGAGUUUCAAAAAAAUAAAUUUAUUUUUAGUAAGGAGGACAUCGGUUCUAUCUG